rnacentral:rRNA from 1 species
GACGAACGCUGGCGGCGUGCUUAACACAUGCAAGUCGAACGGUGAAGGGGCCUGCUUUUGUGGGCCCUGGAUGAGUGGCGAACGGGUGAGUAACACGUGAGUAACCUGCCCCCUUCUUCUGGAUAACCGCAUGAAAGUGUGGCUAAUACGGGAUAUUCUGGGUCUGUCGCAUGAUGGGUCUGGGAAAGAUUGCGCCUUUGGGUGUUUUUGGUGGGGGAUGGGCUCGCGGCCUAUCCGCUUGUUGGUGGGGUGAUGGUCUACCAAGGCGGUGACGGGUAGCCGGCCUGAGAGGGUGGACGGUCACACUGGGACUGAGACACGGCCCAGACUCCUACGGGAGGAAGCAGUGGGGAAUAUUGCACAAUGGGCGCAAGCCUGAUGCAGCGACGCCGCGUGAGGGAUGGAGGCCUUCGGGUUGUAAACCUCUUUCGCCAGUGAAGCAGGCCUGCUCCUUGUGGGUGGGUUGACGGUAGCUGGAUAAGAAGCGCCGGCUAACUACGUG